rfam:Flavobacterium psychrophilum JIP02/86 complete genome
UGAUAGCCACGAUUGAAGUGAAAAUCCUCGCCAUUUUUCUUGGCGAGAUUGAAACGGAAAGCGGGAAAAUGG